AAUCCGUCGACUUUAGAAAUCGUA
rnacentral:tRNA from 1 species